UACAGAGGGUGCGAGCGUUGUCCGGAAUUACUGGGCGUAAAGCGCACGUAGGCGGCUUUGUAAGUCAGAGGUGAAAUCCCGGGGCUCAACCCCGGAACUGCCUUUGAGACUGCAAGGCUCGAAUCCAGGAGAGGUGAGUGGAAUUCCGAGUGUAGAGGUGAAAUUCGUAGAUAUUCGGAAGAACACCAGUGGCGAAGGCGGCUCACUGGACUGGUAUUGACGCUGAGGUGCGAAAGCGUGGGGAGCAAACAGG
rnacentral:rRNA from 1 species